UUGGAGUUCAUUGUUCAGUCGGCCGGUGAAUUUGACCCCUUCAUAUUCGAAUGCAAAACCGUUUAAAUGAGGUUAUUUUUGUGAAAAGAAUACACUGAACUGAGAAUACCAAAGUAUCUUUGCAUUGUAGUCGAAUACUCAAGCUUACUAUUUUGGAAUUUCAAAUUUGAAUUUUGAAAUGCCACUGUGAUUAGAACCAUGGCGCACCGAUUACUCCGUUCAAACCUAUCAAAGAUAAACAGACUGACAUCAGUGAAAAAGUCUGAAUCCGUUGCAGUGAAACAAACUUUUGAGUAUUUGUUGAUCAUUGACUUUGAAGCUACUUGUCAAAAGGACGAGGCAUUAAAACCACAAGAGAUUAUAGAAUUUCCAUGUUUAGCUGUUUCCACCACAACCUGGGAAGUGAAGGAUGUAUUUCACGAAUACAUUAGGCCUCAGGUUCACCCUGUGCUAACUACAUACUGUACAAAGCUCACUGGUAUCAUACAAGAGAUGACUGACCAGAGUCAACAUUUCCCUGAUACAUUUCUCAACUUUCAACGUUGGUUACACAAGUCUGGUUAUUUAGAAAAUGGUAAAAGUACAUUUGUAACUUGUGGUGACUGGGACUUGGGAGUAAUGUUACCUGAGCAAUGUGCGAUUAGCCAAAUUCCUAUUCCGAAAUAUUUCAAUGAAUGGAUUAAUUUGAAGGACACAUUUCGCCAUGCAACCGCGUAUCAUCCAAGAAGUCUUAAGGAUAUGCUAAAACAUCUGAAUUUACCUUUAUGUGGUCACCUGCACUCAGGAAUAGAUGACACUAACAACAUGGCUAGGAUAAUCCAAUUGUUAGGGACCAAAUAUCAGACCGACUUUCGUGUUACUUCGGUAGCACGAUGAUCUAUGCUGGUAUCAUACCCUCAGUGGGCACAACAUUAAGUACAUCGCCGUGUGAAAGAACUGUUUCAAAUGGUUGAGCAAGAUUGCGCAAACUGGAAACUAUCACAGUUGCCUCAGUCCUGAACGGUGGUGCCAGUGUCACCAUUCCAGGAGUAACUGUGAACUCAUUUUUGGAAAUAACGUCUUCAUUUACUUCCAGGGCAUAUACGUCUCACACCCAGCAGUGAAUAUACUGCUACUGUCGCUGCAUACUGAGUAAAAAAUUUGUGUGUCGUCAACGUUAUCGUUUAACAUGGUCAACGUUUCAUCUGCGUUGACUUCCAUUGUCAACAUUACUUGAUGUUGACUAACACCACGACAGAGAUCGCCCAGAUGUUGCUGAAACAUUUUUUAAGGUCAAAAACUAGAAUAAAAAAUAACAAAUUCCAUCAAGCAAAAUACGACUAAAAUUACUUACAACCGGAUCUCUGACAAGACUAAAAUCCUCUAUUAGCGUCUCCCCUGGGAAUACUUUGCAUAAUGGAAAAACAAUAUUUUUGAAUGUAUCAUUCUCUGCUCCUUGGAGUUUACCAGUGUCUUUUAAUUUAUUAUACAAUCUACAACCAAAAAAAAUAAACCGUUCAUCGCAAGGAAAGAAUUAACUUUAACUAGUUAAAAUCGAUAAAAUUUGAGAUUGCUCACCUACGAAUUCUCCAUCUUGUUGGCUCAUCUCCGUGUGUAAUAGUUAAAGUUCCAACGUGUGAGACAUCAGUACGUUUGAGUAAUGCAAGAUCUUCCCGUCUUGGAUGAAAUUCUAAUUUAACCCAUUGAGUCUCACCCGGACCCAAUAACAAUUCUGUUGGACUAAUUUGCCAACUGGAUACCAUGGCAGGGUAGAGAGCUACGAUAUCGAGGAUUGUUGAACAUUGUUAUAGCGUUGUGAAAGGAUUUAAAAAAAGAUGAUAGUGACCCCUUAUCUACCUACCUUUUGGUGUUAGCUUCACGACAGCAUAUGAACACAAAUCUCCGGCAUUUUGUAGUUUGAUUCUUGCACUUAAUUUUCCACUUGCGUUCAUGUGACCGAGGGAGAGCCACAUCAGCCCUCCCGUAUCUUUAAAUGCUUGCAAAAUUUCAACCUUGCCAAUACCUCCGUAUCCAAAUAAGUAUAUCUUGAAAAGAAUGAAUCAAUUGAGCAUUGUGAAGUAAUAAAAAUGAACUAAAAUCAGG